rnacentral:lncRNA from 1 species
UAAGUUAAAUCUGUCUCACCUUUUCUCCCAAAUCCAAUUAAUUAAAUUAAUCAGUCCUGUCACCAGUGACUUGGUGUAGGUCCUCAUUCCAUUUUAUUGGCACAUCACAAAAACAUUGAUUAUUAACUGAUAUUUUCAACUCUAGACUUGUUCCUCUCAAUACAUUCAUUCACUGUUGUAGAACUAAAAAAGCCACUCCUGUCCCUCAGAUUCAUCCUGUAGCUACUGAGAAUCAUCUGCAAUACAGCAUCCUGAACAUACUAUUACUCAUACAUUGCCUUUGCUCAUGCCUCGUACAGUUUUAUUCCCCCUAUACCACUAGCACACACUAUUUUACUUAUAAUUCUGCAUUUAUUCAUCUCUUCCUUGUUUAGAUCAUGAGAAAAAACUUGUUUCAUAUCCAUCUUCUGUUCCAAGGGACUUGCAUAGUUCUUGGUCUAUAGCAAGUGCUGAAUGGUUAUAGAAUGGAUUUUCUGAGCCAUAGCUGGAAAGCAUAAUGAUGAUGCUGACAUCUGAGAAUACUACUUGCAGCUAAAGAAAAUAAUCUCCCAAAUUAUAGUGGUUUGACAGAAUACAAGCUCUUUUCUUUGUCACCUAACAGUUCAACAUGAGCAUUGCAUGUUAAAGGUAGUGAAUUUCAGUUAUCAGGAAAAGGCCCUUAGGUAUAAUGUUUUGUUACCAACAACUGUGGAUGGCUUUUGAGGUUGCAUCAGCCUUGGGAAUGAUUUUCAAAAACAGUUAAAUCCAUACAGCUUUAAUUUGGACCUCCCAUGAAUUGUAGGACCUGCCCAAUGAGAUUAGGCAUUUGGAAUAGCUCAGAUCUCCCUGCAGUAAUUACAUUUUACUUUCUUAAAACCAGAUGUUCCCCAGGACAGGGAGAAUUUCAUGUUUUCUAAAACAGGUGGAGCAUCUUUAAACAGUUCCACUUUUCACACACUACAUUUUCAAAUAAAAAAGAAAGUAUCUUUUUUACCUUAAAGGAUAGUGCCCAAAUUUCACCUAUCAAAAAUAUCAUUUUUUAAGAAAUUGUUAGAUUUCUUCAUAUGAAUAUCAAAUAACUCUAUCUGUAAUUGCCUACUCUCUCCUAUUUGAUAUAUGAGAAAUUAAAUGGAAAAUUUGCCCAAUAGAGACAGACAGGUGCUAUAUAAACACAUCUGUAGGUCAUUUAGAAAUUAAUAUCAUAACCCUUUUCAUUAAAGUGACAUGCAUAUAUUUAGAAACUACUUAUCAAAAACCUAAUGAAAGACUGUCCUUGAUAACUUUGCUUUAUGUUCACAUAUAAAUCAGCAUUAAAAUCCUUUACAUAAUGAAAGGCACAUUCUUCGCCAGGAAAAAAAAAUAAGUUCUAUUUGUUUUCCCAUUUAAAAAAUGUGGACUGAAACUUUAUCCUGUUUGUUUAAAUAAUUUAUACAUUUAUUACCACUGUGUAUGUAUAAAGGUGUUUCACAUUUUGAGUCUUAUACAGUUUAUAAAUAAGUAUCACAUUUUCUAGUAUCACAUUUGCACUAAUGUUGAGAUGAUUGUAUUACAAUAUAGAAAUAAAUACAUAGCUAAGGACAUAUCAAAAUUCAUAUACUUGUAUCUACAAUGAGUGUUAAGUUUUUCAUGUGAAGAUCCUCAGGGCAUCUCUAUUGAGUUCAUGGCAUACUUUCCCUAAAUCAUUUAUGCUGACAUGGUGUCAUGGAUAAAGUCUAAAUUUGUAUAUGAGUUACAACAGCUAUUUUCUGCCUGAGUACUCAGUCUUACCAAUGUCUGUGUUUCAUCCUAUAUUCAUGGAAUCUCUAGGCUACGUGGCAUUCACUGCACAGGAGAUGGAGACAUAAACUUUUAAGCAAGUAAAUGGGCUUCUGUGAUCAUUUCACGCACAAUUUCUAAAUUUAAUCCUUCUUGUAUAGAGUUUUAUAAGAUCAUUUUACAGUCUGUCUAUUGAAAGACAGCUAACAUACAUAAUUGUUGAAUAGAUGUCUGUUCAAGGUAAAUCAAUGAGGUCAUUUUUUUAUGUUGAAAUCUGUUAUAAAGUGCGUGGAAUCCAAAUAUAAUGCAAAUGGAAGACUAACUUCUGAUUAAAAGACCUGUGGAUUCAAUUGAUAACAUUUCAUGUUAAACUGCACUGGAAUUAAAGUUACCAAAUAUGAAGAUCCACCAGUGCUAGCAUUUCAGAAGUCUCAUUUGAAAACCCAGUUUAGCCUUUACACAAAUCAUGUACAUCUUAGGUAGUUUUUCAUUGUUGAUUAUGUAAAGUACUGCAAUGCCUUGAUUCUCUAUUUUUAUGUGGGGAAUAGAAGCAUUUGAGAAAAUCCUUACACGUGUAUUUUUGGUUGUUUUCAUUCUGCAUUGUCUUAUGGUUAUUUAAUAUGAAUCAAUAGGUGAUAUAAAAGUUAAAGAGGUUCUUGAGGUUAAAUAUAAACUCUCUACCAAGAUGGACAUUGAAAUAUAGAGACUUGUUUAUGUUAAGACUUUAUUAAAACAGAUAGCUUUUUCAGGGAAAGCAUAUGCUGUAUUCAUCUUAUUAGAGUGUUAUUACUCUCUUAUGACUAAAAUGAUAGAUUUUUAAAAUAUAUAAUCCACAGAAAGCACUCCAGUAUAUAAACUCUUUUUCUAUAGAAUGUUUAUUUUUGCCAAUUAAAUCUGACAAUGCCUUCAAUAAAAAUGAUUACAGGGUUAUGACAAACCUGUGCACUUAUUUCUCAUUUUUAGUUUAUUUUUAAAACAUGCUAGUUAUAUUUGAAGGUGAAAGCACAAGCUGUGUUUUCAAGAUGUGUUUUUUCUCAGUAGAAUUAUGUCAUGGGAAAACACUAUGGAUAUCCAUCAAAGUGAAACCUACAAGGACAUAAGAGCUCGUUAUUAGCGAACAUUGUUUGUAACCUUCAGAUGGCUUCAGCAUUUCUGUGACAAAAUAGCAAGGAGAAAGAAAGAUUAAAUCACAUCAUACCCUCAAAAUUAACAUCACUACAUAAAUUAUGGCUUUUAUGUAAAUCUAAAAUUUAUAUUUUUUACUUUAAAACAAUGAACUAUUACAGCUUCCAAGCUUUGUAAUAAAAUGUUACAGGGAGUUCAAGUUCGGUAAGGUCAAUGCUGGCUUCAGGUUAACAUUAUUGAUUGAAACUUGCUAAAACAUCCUGGCAGAUACAGUGCAAUAACUUCAGUCAGGAAAGUAAGCUGAGGAACAUAGCAUUGUGGUUCUGACGCAUGUUGUGGCUAGUAUACUUGUUCCUUCUGCAAAAACCUAGAAGGAACAAAAGAUAAUUAAAUGUGGAAUUGUAUAACACUGGUAAAUGAUAGAAAGUUACUGUUCAUAUACUAACGCAAACUUUGGUAGCACACUUGCAAUUAGAUUAUUUAUGUUUUUAAUAAAUAGUUUUGAAAGAUGAAUAUUUUAUUCUUAUUCAUACCUUAAAAAAACUAAAACCUAAAAAUGUGUAAUGUUGUAAUGGUCUCCAAAUUUGUAUUUAUACUCUAUUUUUAUACAUAUACAUUAUGUAUACUAUUUAUAUACAUAUAUUCUAUAUGUUUUGAGAAAGUAUAUACAUAAAUUAUAUAUGUAUGUAAUAUAUGGUGUUCUUUAUUGGGUCAGGAAUUUGAGGACCUUUUUUUCUUUCUUUUUUUUUCAAACAUUAUUCCCUCUUUUAAACAAGGUUGAUGAGAUGAUAGAAAAUGUUGGAAGGAAGGCUGCAAUCUGCUAUAAUGGAAGAGAGCUUUUUUCUUUGCCACCCUCAUAUGGUUAAUGUGGGCAUCUCUGACCUUGACAAUUUUCAACAAAUGUACUUGAAGAGAAAUAUACUUCAGGCAAAAUAUUGUAGCAAUCAAAGCCUUUGGUGGUUAAAUUGACUAAAAAUAUUGGCCCAUUAUUCAAUUUAUUUUAUUUCUGUUAGUAAUAGGCUUGGUUGACAGAGAGAUUACUGGCUGUUUUCAUUGACAUGUAUAAACAGAAUUCCAGUUUAAAGAAAGUAAUCUACUGUUGAUUUUCUGAGGGAACAUAUCACUAAAAUGAUAUCCCUUUGUGAUGUUUAUUCUAUUGUUUGUUCACUCGUGGAAUGGUAAACUAUGGAUGUGACAUUUGAAAGCACAUAAGUGGAAAAUUCUAAAAGAUUGAACAGUGUAGACCUGAUAUCCUCUAAAAUGGGUAAACUCUCACAUUUGAAAUUUUAAAUCGCCCUAUUUGAACUUUUUCCUCUAUGAGCAGCUCUCAGGCAGAUGAACAUUCCUAUCAUUUAAAUCAUCAUGUGAAUUCUGACCCUAAUUGGGUAAGUUUUAUAUUAGGUUCCCACCAAGCAAUCAUGGAAGCAAUUAUGGGGACUUGUUCUGGGGCUGCCAUAGCCCAGGUGCUGUUGCCUGAUUGUCAUUUUGUAAUUACCUUGGUACUUCCCAGCUACUCCUUAGCAUCAGUUAAAGGAUACAACAUACUUCAAGUGAAGUUUCCUUGGAAGUACAAGUAAAUAAUUAUUUAGUUUGCUGCUUUAUGAAGGUGCUGUUUGCUUUACCUGGGAUGUGCAGAGGUAUAAUGAAAAUUGCACCUCUCCUCUCUUCUGAGGAGACUUGUACAGACAUUAAAUUGGAGAUGGAAUCUUUGCAAUUAUCCACAGAGUUCCUUUUUAAAUAUAGAAAGUACCUUAAAUAAUAGUGAUGAUAGAGGCAUUGCCAACUUUAGGAUUUUUUUCAAGUCUUUGAAGUCUGACUUUGCAGAACAGAUUGUAAAUCUCUGGCCCAUUACACACCUGCGGAGAUUUUGGUGUUUUAUUUCUCUUGGGUGAAACUACAGAAGCCAAAACCAUGUUAAUCACUGUCAGAACCAGUUGUAUAAAAUGCCAAAAUGCAGUGAACCAAGUGUUUUAUAAUAAAUAUGACAAUACAGUCAGAAUGUUGUUUUGUUAGGCUUGUUAUUUGUUGUAAUUUUUCAUUUAUAAUCUUUGAAAGGAGAAUAUUCUAAGGCUUUUAUCAAAAAAAAAAAUUUAACCACAGGGGAGAUGUCACCAUAUUGUAUAAAUAAUACUCUAAGUCCUUGUAUAAUAAUUAAUUCAGAUAAAAAUAAAUUUAAUGGUGAUAUUUGAUUUAAAUGCUUUAAAUAUACCUGUUUUAACACUUCAAUAUCAAAUAUUGCUACACAAAUUUUUAUUUAUCUGACACUCUCUGAAUGACAUAAUUAAUAGGAGAAUUAAUAUUUUCACUAUAUUAUUUCAUAUUUUUAUCUUUCUUUUUUAUUUAUAAUUGGAUCUUAGGUUUCUUUCUACCAAAUAGCAAUUAUGAUGAUUGGGAUAUGGAAAAAAUAAUUUUAAUCAUCUACCAGUGUUACUUAAAUUAGAUGCUGAAUUAACUAGAUUUAAAAUUAAUACAGAUAGCUUAGCUAUGUCAUUGGCUUUUCUUUACUCAGUAUCCUGACAUGCAUUUUCAACUGAUCUAUCAAAGGAAACAUGUUCUGUGACAAAGAGAAUAAAUAUAUCAUAAUAUAUCAUAAAUUGCUAUGUGUAGUUCAUGAUGGAUGAUUCUGAUAUGUAAUAUCCAAAUUAAAUAAUAUCCAUAUAUUCAUGCACCAUCUGAUGUAAUUUUAAUAACAAUUUUGGGGAAGAUUGUUCUUCCUAUUGAAUAACCACUUACAUAAAUGUAAAACGUGUUAAAUUUACUUGCAGUCGGGAGUUCCUGUUGUGGCUCAGUGGUUAACAAAUCUGACUAGGAACCAUGAGGUUGUAGGUUUGAUUCCUGGCUUCACUCAGUGGAUUAAGGAUCUGCUGUUGCCACGACCUGUAGUGUAGGUCACAGAAGCAGCUUGGGUCCAAGUUGCUGUGGCUGUGGCUUAGGCCUGUGGCUUGGGCCUGCGGCUACAGCUCCAAUUCAACCCCUAGCCUGGGAACCUCCAUAUGCCGUGGCUGUGGCCCU